GAAUGAAGGUAGCAUGGUACUGUGCACGGAAACUGAGUUAUGGAUCGACAUGUCUGCCAUCUCUGAUUCAUGUCGUGAUGAGACGGCCUGGUUUAGAUCCACAUUC